CCUACGGGGUGCAGCAGUAGGGAAUCUUCCGCAAUGGACGAAAGUCUGACGGAGCAACGCCGCGUGAGCGAAGAAGGCCUUCGGGUCGUAAAGCUCUGUUGUUAGGGAAGAACAAGUAACGCAGUAACUGGCGUUACCGUGACGGUACCUAACGAGAAAGCCACGGCUAACUACGUGCCAGCAGCCGCGGUAAUACGUAGGUGGCAAGCGUUGUCCGGAAUUAUUGGGCGUAAAGCGCGCGCAGGCGGUUCCUUAAGUCUGAUGUGAAAGCCCACGGCUCAACCGUGGAGGGUCAUUGGAAACUGGGGGACUUGAGUGCAGAAGAGGUGAGCGGAAUUCCACGUGUAGCGGUGAAAUGCGUAGAGAUGUGGAGGAACACCAGUGGCGAAGGCGGCCCCCUGGACGAAGACUGACGCUCAGGUGCGAAAGCGUGGGGAGCAAACAGGAUUAGAUACCCUCGUAGUC
rnacentral:rRNA from 1 species